CGCCAUUCCCCGCUCCCUGGAAGUGCUGAGGGCGGCCCGGCGGUUCCCAUGGUGACCCGGCUGCCGUCAGGCGCGGCGGCCGCGCUUUGCCGCGAUGCGUCCCGGCUCCGGGACAAGGAGCAGGGAGCCGGUGGUGGAAUUGCCUCUCUGUCCGUGUGCUGAGCUCUGGCUGCAGGGACUGUCAGGCAUUGUUGGCUCUGUUGCCUGGUGUCCUUUCCCUGCCUGAGCUGGCUGUGGGUUUGGUGUGGGACGCGAGGCCGGAGAGAGCGAGCGGAGGAGCCUCGGGCUGGAGAGGGGCAGGAGAAAGGCCCUGUGGGCAAAGGGCCGUCCCUGUGUGCCCAGGGCCCUGCAGGGGACAGGAUGGACACUCUGGGGUCACUCUGAGGGGCAUCUCCGAGGGCUCUUGCUUUAGGGCCGCUGAGGGCAGAUUGCCCUGGCUUUAACAGUGCUGCUGGCUGCCGGCCUCCGGCUGGAAGGGCAGGGAUUUGGGGCGGGCGGGACACACGUGGGGGGCACAUGGGAGCUCUGGGAGGUGGGCCCUGGGUAUGGCUGCCCGUGCUGUUCCACAAACACAAUGUGCCUGCAUUCCCAAGUGCCAGCAGCGUCAGCAUAAAAGAGAAGAUUCAUUUUCCGGGAAUUACAUCGCUGGCACUCGGAAGGGGUUUGGGGUGUUUUGGGCAGCAUCAGGGUGGUGCUCGCUUUUGAACUGGGGCAAACCCUGUCCAUGCUGCGGGUGCCGUCCUGGGCCCAGGCCAGAGGGGCUGUGGUUGCCAGCUGCUCCCCGUGUCCGUGCUGAGCCAGCAUCCCAGGGGCACAACAGGCGGCACCGACACUUCAAAGGGAAGAUUUUUCUCUCUGUGGGAAGCCGGGACUUCAAGGAGCAAAAAACGUUCCUUUCCAGCGUGGUUCACCUCCCACCCUCCCCGAGCACGGCGCGGGCGACUGCAAGGAAGGAUUCAUUUCUGCCCGUCCCCAGCCGGUCCCAGCCCCACUGGCCACGCUCCCUGCGGCCCGUUCGUGCAGAGGAGGGAGAGCUGCGCAGAUUUAUUAAGAGUGCAGUUCCUGACAGUAUUUGUCUGCAGUCUUUCCCUCCUUUGACUCACGGGGCAGCGUCCGGUUUUCUUAUUUCCUCUUGUGUAGCUGUUUGCAUCAUAGGCAGGACCUGCCUCAUCUGGAAAUAAAGAUUAAAUAUUUUAA